UACGAAGGGGGCUAGCGUUGCUCGGAAUCACUGGGCGUAAAGGGUGCGUAGGCGGGUCUUUAAGUCAGGGGUGAAAUCCUGGAGCUCAACUCCAGAACUGCCUUUGAUACUGAGGAGCUUGAGUCCGGGAGAGGUGAGUGGAACUGCGAGUGUAGAGGUGAAAUUCGUAGAUAUUCGCAAGAACACCAGUGGCGAAGGCGGCUCACUGGCCCGGAACUGACGCUGAGGUGCGAAAGCGUGGGGAGCGAACAGG
rnacentral:rRNA from 1 species